rnacentral:pre_miRNA from 1 species
AAAAUACUUUCCGUUCCAUAAUUCUUGUCGAAAUAUUACAUGUAUCUAGACGCUUUUUAGGAAUAGAUACAUCCAUAUUUGGGCAAAUUUGAGACAAGAAUUAUGGAACGGAGGGAGUAGAAA